rnacentral:sRNA from 1 species
UGCAGCCCUGCGCUCUUAUGCGCGGGGCUUUUUUUGCAUGCGGAUGCGGUUAUCCUGGCA